GAGAAUAACAGCGCGUUCCUCCCUUUGUGCGGUUUUGUUGUCGCAGGGACGGAAAGAUGAUCCCGCAACGUUUAUACUGAACUUUCUGGACUCUCCUAACGUGCAGACAACCUACCAUGCCAGCUCAAAAGACAUUUAAUACGAAUGUUUACAGUCUCGGGACUUCCCAAGUUCGCUCACAGCCAAUGAAAUUCCUCUUGAUGUGCUUCGUAAUGGUGGGUUUUAGCAGAAAUGCCUCUUGAGGGCCAAGAUUGCGCGGACCUUAAUGUAGAUGAUACUCGUACCGGGGUCAGCCACAAUCGGGGCAAGAGAAGCGCACCCUCACCCACCCAAGCACGUCCGCGGGGAAAGUGAAGUGCAAGUUCCGGGAUCGACAGUCCUGGUCAAAUUCGUGAACGUCUGGUGAAGCCUAUGGCAGGAGAACCGCCAGAACGGCCCUCCCAGUUUAUAGUGGGGUUCCAUUCCCGCAAACAGUUUGUAACCUGAACAGUUCACAAGUCUGAAAUGCAGCCGCAAACCAAGUUCUCACACUGAAGAUGCCUGCAGCCCCGCAACAGCUGACAAAUCCAUCCCGCUGGUCUCCCAGAUGCUCAUUUGUAUGUGCCACAUCUUCACUGAGAAAAGUAGUUUGAAGUUAAUUUUGUUACCCAAAUGUGUUUCAUCUGAGUUGCUUGACACCAAGACUGUGAGCAGCCUACUUCAGAUUCAGACGUGAAAGCCAAGGAGAGGGAUGGAAUCAGUGGUUAGAGGUGCACUUACAUGUUCUACGGACCAUUAAAAGGAACAGUGCAAGCCUUGAUUUAGAAGAUUCUCAUACUUCCUCCUUUCAGUUGAGGGAGGUUAAAUGAAGGUUUAUCCAUCCCUUCCCAAGGCACCAUAGAGGAAGGAAUCUAUGGGUUCCCCAAG